GCCAGGGCAGCGAAGGCGGCUUCUUCCUCGCAGCUACCAGCCGGCAGGAACCUCGCAGAGCUUUGUACCGGCGCGUGUUCCGACAGGGCAGGAAUUUGGGAAGAUCCUAAAUGAUAGAUUUUGGGAUCGAUUUAGAUGGUAACAUGGAUUUCGAAAAAGAUUUGAGAAUUCUCCUCAUCGGCAGAACAGGAUCUGGGAAGAGUGCAACCGGAAACACCAUCCUGGGGGGAA